UGUUUUAUGUGCGGAGGUGGGAAGUACACGAAGGAGGACGCAAAGACUGUUAUGAUACAAAUAUUGAAUGUGGUUGCAUUUUGUCAUCUCCAAGGUGUUGUACACCGAGAUCUCAAACCCGAGAAUUCUCUUUGUACCUUUAAAGAAGACACCUGCCAGUUGAAGGCAAUCUAUUUUGGUUUCUCAGAUUACUGUGACCAGCUCUUUAUCCACUAUCUCGCUCUCUCCGCCUAGGCUGGCAGAUGCAGAGAGCAGUACCAAGGAUAGGUUACUACUUCCGGUAGACAGAUCUGAUAAAGUGACCUGCACAAAGCUACAAUCAUUCAUAGAAGAACUCAAGCGGCCUAUCUACUUUACCACUCCUAUGGUGAUUGUGGUCAUACACCAAGUUAACCUUUGAGAACAUCUCAAUGGUGAUGGUGGAUCAUCUUGGAGACCUCGCUGUCACUAGCUCCUCCCUCGCCUCCUCCUUCUGCCACCUCAUUGGCUUCAGUUUUAUUGUAAAAGAUUUUUAUCAUAUUUUAUAUUUCCUUUUGUGUAAGUUGAUACUUGGUACAUGUAUAUAUCUUACUUAUACAACCUUGGAAACUGCACCUUCUCUUCGCUUGAUUGUUUUUUUAUCACCUGAUUGUUAAUUCUUUUAAAAAUGUUUACACGCUUUUCUUCUA